UACGUAGGGUGCGAGCGUUGUCCGGAAUUACUGGGUGUAGAGAGCUCGUAGGUGGUUUGUCGCGUUGUUCGUGAAAACCGGAGGCUCAACCUCUGGCGUGCGGGCGAUACGGGCAGACUUGAGUACUGCAGGGGAGACUGGAAUUCCUGGUGUAGCGGUGGAAUGCGCAGAUAUCAGGAGGAACACCGGUGGCGAAGGCGGGUCUCUGGGCAGUAACUGACGCUGAGGAGCGAAAGCGUGGGGAGCGAACAGG
rnacentral:rRNA from 1 species